rnacentral:misc_RNA from 1 species
GCUUCUACCCAAAUACUUAUAUCCACCAUGCCUCAUUUGCUAUGAAUUUGUACUACCAGUACAUGGGCAGGCACGAGGUGGAUUGUAACUUUACAAACUCUGGACUAAUUUCCUUAAGUGAUCCAAGCUCUGGUAGCUGCACUUAUGAGAGUGAUGGAGACAUUGAAGGAAAUGGAACUUCAGAAAACGAAAUAUCGGAAACUUGGUGCGUUGUGAAACCGACAACAGAAGACUAUAUGCUGCAGGAAAAUAUAAAUUUUUCUUGCAAUCACGUAGACUGUUCCCCUAUAAAGGAUGGUGGAUCAUGCUUCCAGCCAACAACUCUAAUGAACCAUGCAGCAUUUGCCAUGAAUCUUUACUACCAGAGCACAGGCAGAGGCAGUACGAGCUGUGACUU